rnacentral:lncRNA from 1 species
GCCCGCCUCCCUCCCCCCGAGGCGGAGGAAGCUCUUGGGGCCGGGCUCUGGCCCUGGGGGCUAAGCGAUGGGCGGCCCGGGCAAUAUCCCCCUGGCUCCGAAGGCAGUGUUUGACCCAGCCCGGGAGAGUGCAGCCCCAGUGUUUGCUUUGUGUCGUUCUUCAUCCGGAGCCAUCGUGGUCUUGGAAUGCCUCUUGGUGAACUACUUCUGGAAGGAGGAGGGAGGCAUAUUAUGGGGAUUUUGGAGACCUGGGUGUUUAGGUACCAUGACCCCAUGCUGGCUUCUCUUCUGAUUUCAUCAGACUUGAUACCCAUUCCGGUGAUUUGAUUUGGAUCAGAUUAUUGGAUUUACCUAAUAGUCCCUGGAAGGAUAGAUAGGAAUUUAAAAUUGGUGGAUGACCAAUUGAAAUGAAGUAAGUGAAAUUUGGAGACUUGAAAAAUCUGAGGUGUGGCCUUAAAUGAAGAAGACAGCCUUUGCUUAUGAAUAUGAAACAUUGAGUUGGCUGUUCCAGCUGUUAUUAGAAUAAAAUAGUCUUGUUUUACA